rnacentral:rRNA from 1 species
UGCGUAGACGGCGUAUUAAGUUUGUUGUUAAAGGUUCCGGCUUAACCGGAAACAUGCGAUGAAAACUGGUAUGCUAGAGGGUGAGAGAGAGAAGUGGAAUUCCCGGAGUAGCGGUAAAAUGCGUGGAUCUCGGGAGGAACACCAAUGGCGAAGGCAGCUUCUUGGCUCAUUUCAGACGUUGAGGCACGAAAGCGUGGGUAGCAAACA